UGGUCGCUCACGCUUCGCAGCUAUGGCGCCUCGGGGCCGCGCCCAGUCUCCAGUUUGCCGGCGGAGCCUCAGCUCUUUCCUCCGCUCACUCCGACCUUGAGAACCCGGGCGGCUCCGAGGGAGCGGGGAACGAGGCGGGCGCCGGGGACCAUGAGGAGCGGCCGGACCCGCGAGGCGGACAGCGGAGGGUGGCGCGGCACCUGCUGAGAGAAAAGAGGGAGCGGCCUGGCUCCGCGCCGCCGAGGUGAGGCGGAGGCUGGUCCGCGCCUCGGCCAUGUCGCUGCUCUGCGUGCGUGUUAAAAGAGCCAAAUUCCAGGGUUCACCAGAUAAAUUUAACACAUACAUGACCCUGAAAGUCCAGAACGUGAAGAGCACAACUGUAGCAGUCCGUGGUGACCAGCCUUCCUGGGAGCAGGAUUUCAUGUUUGAGAUCAGUCGCCUGGACCUGGGCCUAAGUGUGGAGGUGUGGAACAAAGGACUGAUAUGGGACACAAUGGUGGGCACCGUGUGGAUUGCACUGAAGACAAUCUGUCAGUCAGAUGAGGAAGGGCCUGGGGAGUGGUCUACACUGGAGGCAGAGACAUUAAUGAAAGAUGAUGAGAUCUGUGGAACUAAAAACCUAACUCCUCAUAAAAUCUUGCUUGAUACAAGAUUUGAGCUGCCUUUUGACAUCCCAGAGGAGGAAGCCAGAUAUUGGACCUACAAAUUGGAACAAAUCAAUGCCUUGACAGAUGAUAAUGAGUAUUCUAGUCAAGAAGAAAGCCAGAGGAAGCCAUUGCCCACUGCUGCCGCCCAGUGUUCCUUUGAAGACCCUGAUAAUGCCGUCGAUGACCGGGACAGUGACUACCUCAGUGAGACCAGCAAUAGUGCCCCGCCUCCUUACCACACAACUACCCAGCCCAACGCUUCUGUGCACCAGUUCCCUGUGCCUAUCCGACUGCCACAGCAGCUCUUUCUUCAAGGCAGUUCCCAUGACUCUUGCAAUGACUCUAUGCAGAGUUACGACCUUGAUUAUCCAGAGCGUCGGGCCCUCAGGUUGGUAUUGAUCCAGGUCCCAUGAUGGCAACUGACAGGAUCCUGGUGAUAUGACGGGCCUUGGUGUCUUUCUCACAUGCUUAUGUUUAGACGUUUCCAGUGGCAAUACUUGUCUUUGUGAGCCUGUCGGUGAAGACAUGCCCACCUGGGUGAGCAGCUGAACAAAACCUGCUCCUUCUACCUCAUCUCUUCUCUGCAUCAGUAAUUUUUACAAACAAUUUACUAAAAUCAGAAGUUCAUAAGAAAACCAAUAUAAUCUUAUUACAGCAGAUUUGGUAUUUUUGCUGGAACUUUAAUUCAUUUUAGUAUUUCUUUUCAAUACAUAAUAUUUAUA